CUAAUGAAGCCUUGAGUGAUAGAUGAUAAGAAGCUAUUUGUGUAUUUGUUUGCAGAGAAAGAAUUACUUACAAACAUUUCUCAGUUCUGAUUUUAUUCUGACACUUGUUACCUUUAUAACCAGGGAGCAUUAUCUACCAAUAAGAAAACAGGAAAGUUGUUACCAGAAAUGUAUGCCUCCAGAAGGAUGAAUUCCUCCCAGAAGCAGAAGAACACCCCUUCAUCCUCUGGAAGCUUCAGCAACCGGCGUAGCAACAACCAUGGCCUGUCCUCACAUUCUUCUGACACUUCCAUGAAUGAUGCUCAGCAGUUUCUUAAACAAGGUCCACAAGAAGGAAAUCAAAAAGCAACCUCUCAAUCCCUAUUCAAAUAUGAAAACUUCACUGGAAAUCUCCUCCUAAGAAUCUGGAUGUUAUUGAUAAUGAUGUUUAUGGAGCUAUGGAAAAAAAAUAUGCAUCCAUAUACAGAUAAAAUAUGGCAAUAUGUGUACAAGCUAUCUAUUCUAAAAGUGUUGGGGGGGUUUUUUAUUUUGUUUUUUAUAUUUUUUUGUAUUUUCUAAAUGUCCUAGUUGGUGUCUAAUUUUUAUAUUUUGAAUAUAGAUAGAUAGACAUAUAUACAUAAUUUUUUUUCUAAAGAAAUGCUUCUCAAAUAGUACCUUCAAUACAUUUGUGAAUUUCUUAAAAGCAAAUUGUUUGUGGUCUGCAAAUCAGGGUGGGGCCCAGAAGUCUUAAACAAUAUUUGGAUUUGUACUUUAGGUGUUACCUUUACAGAAUUCUCUGCAUAAGAAUGAACAGGCUGUGUCUUGCCCAGAGAAAGCAGGUGAGGAGAUCAGUAGGGAGUGAAAUCCAGACUGUUUCAGUUGUCAAACUGUGUCUUGAGGAAGGGAGGGUUGUUUUAGCCCAGAAGAGAGGAUAUCUUUUCAGAAUUAGUCUCCUGGACGGAAGUCUCAGAACUGGUGUCCUGGAGAGCUGAACUGGUAAUUUGUCUGCCAAAUCAGAUGCCUCCUGGUUACUUGCAUGAAGCACUAAUGUGUUAGAAUAAUUUCUGGUCAGUCUGAUGUGAGCUAUCUAGUCCCAUUCAUUUCCACAAGUACAAAUAGCUCCUUAACAGCUCUCCAAUUAUACCCCACGUUCCACAUUAAUGGAUUCACCAGGAGGUUGCCUCAGGCAAAGAUUUACAUGAGGAAAACACUGAAAAUCAUUCAUUUCCUUUAGUAGUAUGGCAGAAAGUAGAUAUCUAAAACUGAGAUUGGAAACAGCAGUGGUGCAGCAGUAAAGCAGAGCUCUGCAAGGCUGACCCACAUAAAGAAGGCUCUGGGUUCAAAACAUCUGAGACCUCCUUGAGUAUCCUGGGCUUAUGUGAGCCCCUGAGGUGGGACUGGCUGAGGUUAGGGAUAGACUGUGCUCCAGACUCUGUUGGACGUGCUCUCUCUCUGUCUCUGUCUCUCUCUUUAUCUCUCUCAUAGAGAAAUAAAUAAACUUUUGAAACCAUAGAAAUUACAGUGUAUUGGGGCCAGCAGGUGGCAUGGUAGUUAAGGCACUGGA